AGUGGGAGGACUGAGGCCCAGCGGUGAACCUCUUACUUUCCUCCCUGAACAGCCCUGCUCUGCUGGUCCUCUGUGGGGACCAUGGAGGGGUCGUGGGGCCGUGGAAGGGUCGUGGGGCCGUGGAGGCCACCACCCCUCUGCUGUCAGAAUUCUGGAGGGAGAGUAUGGCUUCUGUCCUCUUAGACUGAGCCAAGGGAAGAGGCCAGGGGGCCGUGUUCCAGCUGAAGCAAAGGCAAAUGUGGACCCAGCAAUCCUUGUCUUAGCGCUGCUGGGGGCCAUAUGGGCCAUAGGUUGGGAUGAGGGAUCAGGGCCCCAUCCCCUGCCCUCUGCAUCCAGUAGGGGCACAGUGUCAGAAGGAGCACACCUGCAGAGGAGCAGAGCCAGGGAGGAGACCAGAACCCGUGCCAGAGGAGUAUGUGACUUGGAGUUCAGAAGACCCAGGGGGACCUGAGAACUGCCUUCAAGGAAGCAGAGGGAUUUGUUUUCUCGACUGCUUUGAGAGCCCCUCAGAAGGCAGGGAACCCGUCCAGGCCCUCCUUUGGCUGGAAGAAACCGGUGGCAACCUUGAGCAGAUCUGUUCUGACACACACAUUAUGUCCUUUAACGCUCUCCAGCCCACGAGUGGCCUCUGGAUCCCAGCCUGGCCUCCCAGCUCUGACAGCACUGACUUUGAGGCUACAGAGGGAGCUCUUUGGAAUACAAAUCCCUCUGGACCCUCCUGAUCCCAGCUGGUGCCCCAUUCUCAUGCUAAUACGGAGAGUUUGCCAGUAGCUCCUAGAAGAAUUUGCUGCUGUAGGAAAUCCACCCCAAGCCUUCCUCCUGGCGACCGGGACAGUGUCUCUGGAGUCCUUUCCAGCCUGGCCUCCUGGCACCCAGCACUUGGUUCCGGCCCUACAUCCAGCGGUCCUGGGUGUGCCAUGGGCAGGCCCCAGACCUGGACAACCUUCGCCUCCUUCUCAGCUUGGUGAACUCUUACUCAUCCUUCAACGCCCAAUUCAGAUAGCACCUCCCCUGCGAAGCCCCCCUGACUCCUCCAAGCUCACUUCCUCCUCUAUGCUCCCACUUCCCAUGCCUCUAAGGCAUUGCCUAAGGGUAGGUCUACCUCCUUCCCUAGCCUGGGAAGUCUUUGCUGGAAGGGCCCAUGACUGACUCACCUGCAUGCCUCCAGCUCCCAGCACAGGGCCUGGCCCUGAGAAAUAUUUAUAGAAUAUAAAUAUUGGCGUGAAUGUGCAGGAUGGUUCCAACGGAGAAAGCCUGUGAUCUCCACUCUUGUAGGAUCUCUAACAAAAUGAAGCCACUUAAACCUAAGCAGGCAGGCAACACCUAGAGCGAUGGAUGUCUCCUUGCUCGGCACAACCUUCUCUCUGCUCAUUGCUCGUUUCAGCCAGAGCCGUGGUAGACGCUUCUGGGCAAGUUCGGGUUCGCCCUGUCUUGGAAGUGUCCCUCCUCAAGCACACCCCUUGUCCCAUGCCAGGAGAGCCCUCUUGGCCCAUGAACAAACGCAAGCCAAAAGUGCAGGGGAACUAACACCCCGUGACAAUCCUCAGCCGAUGGGGAAUGGGAGCCUGUGGGUAAUGGCUCCAGUCCCCGCUUUUCAGGUGGACGGUUCUGGAGAGGAUCCGUGGGCUCCUCAGAGGUCAAGGCGGGAUGGAGCCGUACUCUCCACCAGAGAGACCUUGAGGGUAUUCUGUAUGCUGGCUGGUCCCCUCUCCCUGCUUGCUCUCCUACACCAUCAAACUUUCUGCUCUCGAGUCCUGGUCUCAGGUUCUGUUUUGGAGAAAACGUUUAUCAAGACAAUGAGCUAAGCAGAAGAAAUUUCUUGACUGAAGACUCCUUCUCUCACCGGCUCUGACCCUGAUUCCUGGGGCUUCUUGUCCGACAAAACCCUAUCUUAACUUCCAAGGGGUCUCUGGGGUGUGUGCGAGGCUCCGUGGAGGAGAGUUAUUCAGGGAAUUAUUUCCUGAAAUUAAACUCCACGGUCCCUGAGGGAAGGAGUGA